GUGCUCUCUGCCCUGAGCAGCAGGCAUGUGAGAUCUUUGGGGAUUCAGAUUUCAGAAGACUAACAAGUGCUGGGGCCCAGUAGAAGCUCCUUCGCUGUCUGGUUAGCAUAAUGCUUAAAACAUACCUUGCAAAUUCCCCUGUGUGUGGGCAGCAACCAUAGCAGGAGGGAAGUUUGUCCUAAUGGCAAGAUCCACAAAGAAAGGCCUGCAUAAAGGAAGACAUGUGCUACCAUGGGGAAUCUGGGCUUGAACAGACGAUCAGAGACUCCCUUGGUCUCCCAGGACUACUACCAGGAACAGAAUUGAUAAGGUGAACUCUGGGUUCAAGUGAGAGACCAUGCCUCAGUAAGUGGAGUGGACAGUGGAGGAUGAAGACACCUCAUAUUAACCUCUGACCUCCACAUGCUCAAGCAUACAUGUGCAUGCGAAUCCUCACACAGGAAAACUCCACCAAGCUGUUGACAUGUUGGAA
ensembl:lncRNA